GGAAAUCCACUAAGAAAAACACUGUAAAUCUAGUAGGAACUGCAGUGUAAAUCCACCUAGAAUUACACUGUAAAUCUACUUAGAAUUACAGCGGAAAUCACUAAGAAAAACACUUUAAAUAUAGUAGGAAUUACAGUGUAAAUUCACUUAGAAUUACACUGUAAAUCCACUUAGAAUUACACUCGAAAUCCAGUAGGAAUUACACUAUAAAUCCACUAAGAAAAUGCAAUGUAAACACACCAGCAGAGAGGGUAAUUCCUCCAUGAUCUGGGACACAAAUCUGGAUGGAGAUGCAGAAAAAACACAGGUAAACACCGAACUCUUAUGCAUUCACUCCUCCAAGAUCUCUCUCCUACCUCAUGACAUCUGAAAGAAAAACAAGCUCCCUGUGAGGAUCAUUCACAUAUGUUGAAGAUCACAACUUAACAGAACAAAGAUUAGAACACAGGCAGAAAAGAUAGCAUGAAGCAGGAGAAACCCUAGGAACAACUAGACUAUGAACACACAAACUACUAGUCUAUGGUCACAGGAAUAACACUUUGGAACACUACAUUCUGAAAACUAGUUGCAAAAUUAGUGCUCUGAAAUUCGCAGCUAUAGCCACAACACGGGGCAAAAUAAAAGUUUGGGGAUGAGAGGGGGCAUGUUCAGGAAGCUAUGAAUUCCAUUUAGGAAAAACUUGUUCAAACAAAAAGAGUGGUACUGCUGUAACUUCAGAAACUUUGGUGCUGAGAAACUGUACAUUGUUCAGAUACUUUUGAUCAUGUUUAGACACUUAUAUCUGUGAAUCUAUGACUGUAUUUUAGACAUGGCAGAUUAGAUUUCAGUAUAAAGAUGUGAAUACAUGACUAUAUUUUAGAAACUAUGGUACUGUACAAAGUUAUAGUUCAAAUUACUAUGAUCUGAUACUAGUUCACAAUGACUAAUCAGCCAUGAAAAUUAACAGUGAAAGUAAAAUGAUCACAAAAAGGACCGAGGACAAUCAGGUUAAGUACUGACACUAGUUGACACUAACAAAAGAAACUAUAUACUGAAAUCAAAUUAUUGUGACUUGUUUGAUCAAUUUACUCUGACCUUCUCUAUGUAAUUACUCUGCAUCCUACCUUGUAAAUUACAAGCUCUGAUUUACACAUAAAUAGAAGAAAUCAAAAACUUGUGUAUGAAGAGACUACUGGAAUUGACACAAAUAACUCUGGUUUCAAAGACAAAAUGUACAAAAAAUCCUUGCCAAUGACUUGCAACAUGCUUUACUGCAUUUCUGAUAUACUUGUUGCACCCGACAUAUGCAUAAACAUGCAUACAUGCAAAAAGGGACACAUGGGGACAGCAGAAAUGCUCUUGUUUAUUCUACAACACUUCAUUACAUAUACUUUCUGGAAACAUUGAGUGCAGGUGCCUGCAAUCGAAUUAGAUGCAAUGGAAUAUAGCAUCAAAGGGCAGUCACUGUACCUCGAAGAGAGUAUGACAAAUGCACUAUUCAAAAGGGGGAGUGGGGGCUAAAUUCAGUGCAACAAGCUUCCUAAGAGAGUAUGACAAGCUAAUAGAAGUCAUUCAUGAGAGGGAGCAAGAAUGUGAUCACUUGUCUAGAAACAAAAAGGAUGCCCACAAGAAGUUCUGGUCCAAAUACAGUUUAGAAAGACAAGUGCACGAGCUCUACAACAUUCGUAUCUUCAGGAAGUUCCAAAAGAAAAUGGAAGAUACAACGAGGUUGCAUGUGUUUGAGCUUGAAAAAGAGAAAAACCCUACAUGGUUUAUCAAGCUGAGACCUAUCAUUCGAGAGAACUAAGAAGAAGAAAGUUCCUAGUACAGAUAGAUUUGAUGCAAGAGAAGUACUCAUGCAUGAUGCAUCUGCUGCGCAUUUCACGAGGAUGGAAUCCUAUCCUAACACAUACUCAGAGUGAGAUGAUCUAAUUGAACAUAGAGAGGAUACCUGACAAGUAUAUCAUAGACAGAUGGAGUCGAUGAUCAUGAUACACAAGCCUCCUCCCAUUUUUGAUGAAAACUCAACACUGAUAUACAAUGUGCUGCAAAGGAAACUCGUCUAUGUGGCUUCUCUGAACAAUUUACACUGCCAUUAGGAUAAAUAACAAGGGGUCCCUGCCCACAGGCCUUAUAUGACAUAAAUGUGAUAAAAAAAUUACAGUAGAAUUACACUGCAAUUUAUCUUGGAAAAAUACAGUACAUAGACAGUAAGAACAAAAAUUCAGGUUAAUUACACUUAACACACAGGUUAAACACUGAGUGUAAUUACAUUGCAAAUUACACUAAAUUUACAGUGUAAUUACACUGCAAUUUAGACUGCAAAAUUUUAGUACAUAGACUGUAACUAAAAAAUAGGUUAAUUACACUGAAUACAUUGCAAAUUAGACUGGAAAAUUUCAGUGCAUAGACUGUAAGUACAAAAAUUCAGGUUGGUUACACAUAAUAAACAAAUUAAUUACACUGAAAGUCCAGUGUAAUUACACUGCAUGUUAGACCGGAAAAUUCCAGUACAUAGACUGUAAGUACAAAAAUUACAGGUUAGCUACACUAAUUUAUAGUGUAAAUUAAUGGUGGGGUUAAGCCCUUGUUCAGUUUAACACAGAUUGGAAGUUACAAGAAACAAAAUUACAGUGAGAGAAAAGUCUAUAUACCUGAACCAACAGUAAAAAAUAUCACUGUAAAUUUGAACUGAAAACAACAUUUGUGCUAAUACAUUACACUAGACUAAAAAAUGAAACUAUAAUGAAAAUCCACUCGAAAUUACACUAGAAAUUACAGUCCGAAACACUGAAACUAAAACAGAAUUUUUUUCAGACCAACACGUACACAUCAGGAGACUCAACCGACUAGGAGAUUCAACAUUUGCAUGCCUACAUCUAUCAUCAUUAAAUUAUUUUCUCUAUGUACUGGAAAAUUCAGUUAAUGUACCACCAUGUAAACAAAAGUAUAAAACAAUGAAAGCACACAAUUCAGUUAAAUGUACCACCAUCUACACUGAAAGUUACACAGAGAUAUCAGUGAAAUUUAAAUAGAGAUAUAACUAUAGUACAGACCAAACAACUGUUGCUUAAUUGAAGAAAUUCAGUCCAGAAUAAACCUAAAUAAUACAUUUACACUUGCCAAUUACAGUGAAAAACAAGUGUAAGAUAGACUACUAUAGACUAAAACUACAGUAGAGAUAUCACUGUAAAAUUAAACCGAACAUUACAUUUACAAUGGCCAUUCACUAUUGCAGUCUAUUGUAGCCAAACAGCUGUUACUUAAUUACAGUGAAAUCCACUCAAAAUUACACUGCAGUAGUACAGACCAAAUACCUAUUACUUAACUGAAGAAAUUCAGUUCAGAAUCAAACAACAGGUGAAAAGCGAAGCAACCAUACAUCCACAUCAGAAAUUACACUAGAUAACCACACAUCUACAUCAAAAACAGGCUAGACCAGACAAACAUCAAGCUACCACACUAGCAGCCGCCAAUGGAUCAACACCGCUAAUUGAAAGGCCUCAACAGGAAAACUACAUCUACAUUCGGAAGAAGAAAUCAAAAUAGACAAGAGGGAUCCACCGCUAAAUUUACAUGUGCAACAAAAAGUACCACACACGACAAAUGCAAGUAGACGAAUACAACGAGACAAUCAACCAGAUCUACCAAAUCACACAGAAAAAUGAAGGGAAAAUGAAAGNNNNNNNNNNNNNNNNNNNNNNNNNNNNNNNNNNNNNNNNNNNNNNNNNNNNNNNNNNNNNNNNNNNNNNNNNNNNNNNNNNNNNNNNNNNNNNNNNNNNNNNNNNNNNNNNNNNNNNNNNNNGUGCUUGCAAACCAACAACCUCAGGUAGGGGACGGGGGGAGAGACGCAGGGCUUGUCGACCACCACGAAAGAAGGAGCGUCACGAAUCAAACGACCCGAGAAGAAACCGCAGCCAAAUCGCCAUGGCGUCGACUUCGCCUCUCCCUCUCUCCCUGACAAGAACAGAGGUGAAUCAAAUCAGAGCACGAGCUUGGAGAUAAGCAGCCAG
rnacentral:lncRNA from 1 species